rnacentral:tRNA from 1 species
AUUUAAAUAGCUUAUAUUAGAGCAUAAUAUUGAAGAUAUUAAGGAGAUUAAUAAAUCUUUAAAUA